GAUGCAAUAAAAGAAGGUUUUAAGGCUAGGUUUGAGUUCAUUUACAUUUAGUUGUCUUUUCUGAGUUUUGUUGUAGAGAAUAAGUGAAAAAUAAAAUUUAAAAAGGAUCUUUGACACUUUGUCAUAGGCUACUUACUCAAUGGAACAAGCAAGAAAAGUUGAGAAGACGGAUGUUUCUCACAUUAAUGCACAUAUAAGGAUUUUUGGGGACCAAAAAAGAGCCAAAACUGCAGAAAUUAUUGCAUUGAAAAGGGAACUAGGACUACUUUAUGAAGGUGGUCAAGGUACAAGAACAAGGAAGAGAGCCUU